rnacentral:rRNA from 1 species
GAGUUUGAUCGUGGCUCAGAUUGAACGCUGGCGGCAUGCCUUACACAUGCAAGUCGAACGGCAGCACGGGAGCUUGCUCCUGGUGGCGAGUGGCGAACGGGUGAGUAAUGCAUCGGAACGUAUCCUGGAGUGGGGGAUAACGUAGCGAAAGUUACGCUAAUACCGCAUAUUCUGUGAGCAGGAAAGCGGGGGACCCUCGGGCCUCGCGCUCUUGGAGCGGCCGAUGUCGGAUUAGCUAGUUGGUGAGGUAAAGGCUCACCAAGGCGACGAUCCGUAGCAGGUCUGAGAGGAUGAUCUGCCACACUGGAACUGAGACACGGUCCAGACUCCUACGGGAGGCAGCAGUGGGGAAUUUUGGACAAUGGGGGCAACCCUGAUCCAGCCAUGCCGCGUGAGUGAAGAAGGCCUCGGUUGUAAG